GGCGGCGUGCCUAACACAUGCAAGUCGAACGAGAUCUGCGGAUCUAGUGGCGAACGGGUGAGUAACACGUGAGGAACGUACCCCGAAGACUGGAAUAAGCCUGGGAAACUGGGUCUAAUGCCGGAUACCCUGGCCUCAUCGCAUGAUGAGAUCAGGAAAGUCUUCUCGCUUCGGGAGCGCCUCGCGGCCUAUCAGCUAGUUGGUGGGGUAAUGGCCUACCAAGGCAUCGACGGGUAGCUGGUCUGAGAGGACGAUCAGCCACACUGGGACUGAGACACGGCCCAGACUCCUACGGGAGGCAGCAGUGGGGAAUCUUGCGCAAUGGCGGAANGCCUGNNGCAGCAACGNCGCGUGCGGGAUNAAGGCUUCGGGUUGUAAACCNNUUUCAGCAGGGACGAAAUUGACGGUACCUGCAGA
rnacentral:rRNA from 1 species